rnacentral:rRNA from 1 species
GAUGAACGCUGGCGGCGUGCCUAAUACAUGCAAGUCGAGCGAACGGACGAGAAGCUUGCUUCUCUGAUGUUAGCGUCGGACGGGUGAGUAACACGUGGAUAACCUACCUAUAAGACUGGGAUAACUUCGGGAAACCGGAGCUAAUACCGGAUAAUAUUUUGAACCGCAUGGUUCAAAAGUGAAAGACGGUCUUGCUGUCACUUAUAGAUGGAUCCGCGCUGCAUUAGCUAGUUGGUAAGGUAACGGCUUACCAAGGCAACGAUGCAUAGCCGACCUGAGAGGGUGAUCGGCCACACUGGAACUGAGACACGGUCCAGACUCCUACGGGAGGCAGCAGUAGGGAAUCUUCCGCAAAGGGCGAAAGCCUGACGGAGCAACGCCGCGUGAGUGAUGAAGGUCUUCGGAUCGUAAAACUCUGUUAUUAGGGAAGAACAUAUGUGUAAGUAACUGUGCACAUCUUGACGGUACCUAAUCAGAAAGCCACGGCUAACUACGUG